AAGUCGUAACAAGGUAACCGUAGGUGAACCUGCGGUUGGAUCAUUAUAAAAAUAAUGGUUCUCUUAAGUUGAGUUUUAUAUUUAUUUAUUUAUAAAAUUCCUUGGAGAAUUCCAAUUUAACCCUAUGUGCACUGUAAAUGUUUUUCGAGUACUAUCUAAGUGCUCGACCAUAUUUAAAAAACCCUAUGAAUUUAAUUUGUCUGACUUUUUUUAUUAAUAAUAAAUAAAAAAUACAACUUUUGACAACGGAUCUCUUGGCUCUC
rnacentral:misc_RNA from 1 species